CUGUAUAGCAAACUACGCUUCAGUGAAUACCUCCCCGCCACAGUUAGUUGGACUUUUACUCCGUCGUACUACGGUUAUUGCAUUGGCGACGAGAAUGGCGACAAUUGGAAAGGUGGAAGAAUUUAACCAAGACGCCGAGGUUUGGCCCCAUUGUACAGAAUAUUACAGCAAGACCAAGUGGCAAUGGGGCCAGAAGAGGAGUAGGCACUUUUCCAGUCUAAAUAACUGUUGAGCUCCCGAGCGUUGGCGCACCAUGACUUCAGGAAGCCCCUCCUGCUCACCUGUGAUGCGUCGCCACACGGUUUGGGAGCUGUUCUUGCAUGGAGUCAGGAGAGGAGAAACCGAUUGCUUUUGCAUCCCGAACGUUGAGUGAAGCUGAACAAUGCCCGAAAUGCCUGUGUCCGAGGACGUGGUGUAUUUGUUGGAGCGACUAGAUGCGGCACCUGUAACAGCGAGGGAUUUGAAGCGAUGGACGGACAGACACCACACUCUCGACAGUCAGAGGUGGAACUGUUCGAUGGGCGAAUUGUACGUCAUCUCAACUAUGUGAUGAGAAGAGUAAGUCUGGAGAAAGAGGACAGUAUCGCUGAGGACAUGGUAUCUCCUCCCUUGGACAUCUCGGAUACCGCGGUGGUAGACGCGAAGCAAGGUUCGCUACGCCCGAGCUUGAUGCCGCGUCUGGAAGUAGCAGGAUGCCGCCUCUGGAAGCAGCUGGCGAUUCGGAACAGUCAUGGGGCCAUUCUAGCGACGUCCCUGAUUCGGCUUGGGAGCGGAAAGAGACACUGACUGAAGAGUCGGAGCUGCAUUUGCCAUUACUGGGAGCCGCCUGGGGUGAAUAAGGCACCACGCAGACACCAUUUGGAAAGGUUACGCAAGGAACCAGACCGUUUUAUGUUUUUGAUAUAUUUUGUUUCCUUUUGGCUUGG